UGCCCAGCAACUCCUAUUCCUACCUCCUUGCGGUACUGGCCGGGGUACGAGUAACCUUAUGGAAGAUCGGGUAACCAACCUCCGGUGGGAACUUUGGUCGUAUGCUGACAGGAAGAGG
rfam:Aedes aegypti strain Liverpool supercont1.2175 genomic scaffold, whole genome shotgun sequence.